CCAAAUGGCUUUAAAAUACAAUGGAAACAGUAACCCGGAAAUUUAGGUGGUACCGAGCUUGCAGCGUUUCCUAGUGUAGAAAACACCAUCCAUACACACCAAAAACAGUAUCCCGGAAGUAAAAGCAGUCAAGAGCUAGCAGCGCAUCCUAGUGUAGUGUAAAAAUAGUUUUAACUGUAUUUGUCAUUCAUUAAUUAUUCCCGCCUUUCUUAUGACUCAAGAAAAUUUAGUUUUUUUCAUCAAUAAGUAAAUUAUCUUAAUAAUUUUUAUGUAUCUUACUUCAAUUUGCAUUAAAAAGAUAAGCAAUCUAGUAUCAUUCAUAUUUAGUUUGCACACUAUUAAUCUAACUGCUCUGAAGAUUAUUUUUUUUUUGUACUAUAUAAAAUAGGAGAGAACAUUUUCUUAACACUUAUUCAUAAUUGCCAAAUACACGGGUGCCAAAUUAUUUUUUUGGCUAAUUAACACAGUCUAGUGUUUACCAGAAUUUUCAGAAAUUUAUAGCUAUCUGACGCCAAAAUGCUGCUUUCUAUGAUAAUGGUCA